GGCGGAGCCGGCGGGCAGACGGGCGCGGGCCGGCGGCCGCGAUGGGCGAGGGCGGGCUGCCCCCGGCCUUGCAGCUGCUGCUGCGCGCCUGCGACCAGGGUGACACGGAGACGGCGCGGCGGCUGCUGGAGCCGGGGGCGGCGGACCCGGCAGAGCGCGGCGCGGAGCCCGAGGCGGGCGCGGAACCGGCGGGGGCCGAGGCGGCCGGGCCCGGGGCGGCGGCGGCGGCCGGGGCGCCGGUGCCCGUGGACUGCUCGGACGAGGCGGGCAACACGGCGCUGCAGUUCGCCGCGGCCGGGGGCCACGAGCCGCUGGUGCGCUUCCUGCUGCGGCGCGGCGCCUCGGUCAACAGCCGCAACCACUACGGCUGGAGCGCGCUCAUGCAGGCGGCCAGGUUUGGGCACGUGAGCGUGGCACACCUCCUUUUGGAUCACGGGGCUGAUGUCAAUGCCCAGAACCGGCUGGGGGCCAGCGUGCUCACGGUGGCCUCUCGGGGCGGCCACCUGGGCGUGGUGAAGUUGCUCCUGGAAGCCGGUGCCUUCGUGGACCGUCACAACCCCUCAAGCGAGCAGCCAGGGGCUGGGGACAGCAGGGACGAGCGGCUGGACAUCACGGCCCUGAUGGCUGCCAUCCAGCACGGGCAUGAGGCCGUGGUGCGUCUGCUGAUGGAGUGGGGCGCAGACCCCAGCCACGCGGCCCGGACCGUGGGCUGGAGCCCGCUGAUGUUGGCAGCGCUCACUGGGAGGCUCGGCAUGGCCCAGCAGCUGGUGGAGAAGGGGGCCAACCCCGACCACCUCAGCGUGCUGGACAAGACUGCCUUCGAGGUCGCACUGGACCGCAAGCACAGGGACCUUGCAGAUUACCUGGACCCACUGACCACUGUCAGGCCCAAGACAGAUGAGGAGAAAAGGCGACCUGAUAUUUUCCAUGCAUUGAAAAUGGGAAACUUCCAGCUGGUCAAAGAGAUUGCCGACGAAGACCCCACACACGUGAACCUGGUCAACGGGGACGGGGCAACACCCCUGAUGCUGGCCGCCGUCAUGGGGCAGCUGCCUCUGGUGCAGCUGCUGGUGGAGAGGCGUGCCGAUGUCGACAAGCAGGACAGCGCGCACGGCUGGACGGCCCUCAUGCAGGCCACCUACCACGGGAAUAAGGAAAUUGUCAAAUACCUGCUAAACCAGGGAGCUGAUGUCACUCUUCGUGCAAAAAACGGGUACACGGCCUUUGACCUAGUGAUGCUGCUGAGUGAUCCUGACACGGAACUUGUUCGACUGCUGGCGUCUGUCUGCAUGCAGGUGAAUAAAGACAAAGGCCGGCCGGGCCACCCACCACCCCCGCCCCACUCGAGGGUGCGGCAGCCCUGGACUGUCCCUGUGCUACCCGAUGACAAAGGCGGGCUCAAGUCCUGGUGGAACCGGAUGUCCAAUCGGUUCCGGAAGCUCAAACUCAUGCAGACCCUGCCUCGUGGGCUGUCCAGCAACCAGCCGUUGCCCUUCUGUGACGAGCCGGAGCCAGCGCUGGACUCCACAAUGAGGGCGGCCCCCCAGGACAAGACAAGCCGCUCUGGGCUCCCCGAUGUGGCCCCCACAACGAAAGACAAUGGUCCUGGGAGCACGAGAGGAGAGAAGGAGGAUGUACUGCUGACAACCAUGCUUCGAAACGGAGCGCCCUUCACCAGACCGCCGAGCGACAAGCUGAAGGCUGUCAUCCCCCCUUUCUUACCCCCUUCCAGUUUUGAGCUGUGGAGCUCCGACCGGUCCCGGACGUGUCACACGGGGAAAGCAGACCCCAUGAAGACUGUGCUGCCCCAGAGAGCCAGCAGGGGCCACGCAGUAGGCGUGGGCGGUGGGAGCACAGACAGCACUCCCGUCAGAGCAGUUAAAUUUCCGUCUCUCUCCAGAAGCCCCGCCUCUCCCACCAACUCUGGAAACUUCAACCACUCCCCUCAUUCCUCAGGCGGCUCCAGUGGGGUUGGGGGUGUGAGCAGGCACGGCGGGGAGCUGCACAGCCGCUCCGGUGGCAGCGUAGACAGUGUCCUGUCCCAAAUCGCUGCCCAGAGGAAGAAGGCAGCUGGACUGUCGGAGCAGAAGGCCAGCCAUCGGUCAAGUCCCGUGGGGCCGGCGCUGGGCCCCAGCCCGCCCGAGCUCCCGCUCUCCCCUGCAGGCAGUAGCCCCGGGGGCAAGAAACUGGAGACGAGCAAAAGGCCUCCGUCUGGAACUUCGACUACCUCCAAAAGCACCUCGCCCACCCUCACGCCCUCCCCGUCACCCAAAGGGCACGCGGCCGAGUCCUCGGUGUCCUCCUCCUCGUCCCACCGGCAGUCCAAGAGCAGCGGGGGCUCCAGCAGCGGCACCAUCACAGACGAGGAUGAACUGACUGGAAUCCUUAAGAAAUUAUCACUUGAGAAAUACCAGCCCAUUUUUGAGGAGCAAGAGGUGGACAUGGAGGCAUUCCUGACGCUCACCGAUGGCGACCUGAAGGAGCUGGGUAUUAAGACAGAUGGAUCCAGGCAGCAGAUUCUGGCAGCCAUUUCUGAACUGAAUGCGGGCAAGAUGAAUAUUAACCGAACACCUGGCUCAGCCAGAAAAAAAUCAGCAAAGCACUGUGGACCUGCAGCCUGCCAGCCCUGCAACCCCAGUAUUCGAGCUGUGAUCCGUACUCAGGCAGGUCCUUUGAAAUUCGGGAUCUUUGAAGGGCAGUUGCCAUCGUGAUCGUCAGUGCGUGGUGGAUGGAGGGGGCCGUCAUGGAUUUCAUCACCCCCGGCUCCCUCUGAGGGUGAGGAGGAGAGGGUGCUGGAGCCCUGUCUCGCCCUGACCUCAUUGCUCAGGCAGUUAAGACCAAGGUGCUGUUUAAUAAAGACACGGCUGUCGUCCCUUCUGUUUGUGUUGCAGCCCUCUGCAGUGGGCACAGUGUCACCCCGUUCAUUAUCUCAGGCUGAGCCUCGUCCCAGGCCCGGCAGGGGACAUUACCCCCAUUUUACAGAUGCGGAAACUCGGCAGCAGGGGGUUGUGCCUGGGUAGAGCGAGUGGUAGCGUAGGGCUGCGGGGUCCUCUGACCCCACAGCUGAUGCUGUGUGCUCUGCCCUGCAGCCUUUAGGUUUGUGUUGAUGGAAUCCUGAUGGCAUUUUUCCAGCUUAUUUAAAAUGACUUGGAAGGAUUGAUGUGAAGGGAGACGACUCCUGCCCUGUCAGGUGCCUAGGAGGCCUCGAAAGCGUUAGGUGUCUGCUUGGGGGUCUGGAAAGGGCCCCUCAGGGAUGUGGGGAGUCCAUGGAAUAAGAAAAAGCUUGAAGUCUAGGCUCAUUCAGUGGAGUCUUCUUUUUCUUUUCAGUUGUAGCACAGAACAAUCUGCCAGAGAUUAUUCAUCUUAAUUUGCUUUACGUUUUGACCACAUUUACUUGUUGGUUUUUAAACUAUAUGUUUAAUACACACGGCUCCCCGCUGAGGGCAGGGCCUGCCGGCCUCCCGCUGUCCACACGGGGUCUGAUGUCAGCAGCAACCAUCUGAGCUACUGUUAUUAUCGCCACUUCGCAGAUGAGGAAACCCAGAUCCAGAGAGGGACGCGAGAGACAGAUUUUGCAGGAAACUAUCCACAACUUCCAUUCUUCCUUUGAGAGCAGCGCCAGCAACACCAGGGCUCCUGGAAACAAUCCGUGUGCUUGAUCCUCCUUCCUGUGGUCUCUGGACCCCAGUGCUGCCGUGCACAACCCGUGCUCCAGCCACCGCCAGCUCUCCCAGGUGCCUGAGACACACCUUGCUCUGUCACACCACCAUGCCUUGUCACGUUGUUCCCUCUGCCUGGGACGCCCGGCCCUCCCUCCCCUGCUGGAGUCGGUGGUGCUUUUUGCUGUGACGAACUCCAACAAGCAAGACAGUCUCACCUGAGGCCCAGUCAGGCUGCUCCCGCUUGGUGGGUGGUUUCAACAGGGAUCCGGGGACCCAGCUCCUUUCAUCUUGUGGCCCUGCCGUCCCGGAGGCCUCAGGCUUUGCUUCUGGCUGGCAGGAGGGGAAAGGGAUGGCGGAGAAGGCCCAGCCACUCCUUAACUGCCUGCUCUUAACUGCUCACAUUUCAUUUUCUCCGCCUGCACACAGUCCAUUGGCCACUGGUAGUCACAUGGCCUCACCUGGAUGCAAAGGAGUCUGGGAAGUGUAGUCUCUGUUCAGGUAGGCUUCCCAGCAGCCACUCUAAACUUCCAUGGGGUAGCACAUAUUUCGGUGGAAGAUCGGCCUUCCCUGUCACAUCUUCCCUUCAAACUGCUACCUUGUCCCUCACGGUGCAAGUCACCUGUCAGAUGAAGCCUUUCUGGACUCGCUACACAGAGCUGACCCUUCCAGCCGCCGGAGGCCCUCACUGCUCUGUGUAUCACUCUGCUCUAACAUGUCACUGCACCUGCCGCGCACAACGUACGGCAGGUGUCAGGAUGUGUAUGUCGAAUGCGUUUUUCUUUAUUGCAAAGGCAGCCUUUUAUAUAGGAAAAAAGAUGAGGCCCACUGUGUGAUCUUUCUGGCCGUCAGUUUCGUCAUCUGCCAGAUUGGGGUUCAGGCUGGAUGAUGCUCUGAUAACCCCACUCUGCCCCCCCUAUAUCACUGUAGGGCUUUCUGCUCUUUAAGGGGGAGCAGAAGACCUAAUCUAUUACGUUGUGGAAGGACUUCGGUGCUCACAUUUUCAAGGCAAAGAAGCAGAGGAUUUGGAGUUUCUCCUAGGCCCCGUUAAUGCUGUGUUCCUCAGAAGGGGAUCGGCCCGUGUAGUUUUCUACUGUGUCAUGUUAUACUGGAUGAGCUCUGACUUUUAAAAUCCAGAGGCUUUCUGCAAUGUUUUCAAGCAAGCGUUUCAUCCGGCCCACAUUUGCUGCAUUUCCGCCGUGUGCUGGGGUUCAGAGACGAGCCAGAGCUGGUUCCCGCCCUUGAGACCUCUGCAGGCAAGAGAAGGCUGAGUGGACAGCCAGCCUCGAGGGGCAGGUGUGGAGUGGAAAGAGCGUGCGCUCUGGACUCAGCUCAGAGUUCACACCCAGCCCCGGCCGCCGGCUGUGAGGCGGGGCAGCCGCGUUGCCCAGAGCCCCGUCGUGGUCUCCCUCCACCUGUCCAUCCAAGGGGUGCUAUUCUCUCUUCAUCCCCGCCGUCCCACCUGUAGAAGCUCUCUCCUCAUGACUGGAGAGCAGAGGUUUUAUUUUAACCGUCACUGAUAGACGUCUUGAUAAGCGUUCCUCGUGUCCUGGGCUUCUCUCGGGAGGGUCGUUGGGCACCUGCUGUGUGCGGCAGCUUGACCUCAGUGUCAGCCGUCCUGCCCCCCACCCUGGAGGCUGGCACAGCUUAGCCUCACCCUGCGGGUCGGGGGACGGACGUGGAGGAGUGAAGCCGUGUGCCAGUUGCACAGCCCGAGAGGAGCGGAGGUGGCCCAGGACGCAUCUGGGGCCUCCAGAGCCCAUCCCUUUUCCUCUGACUCCCGUGGGCUCCUGGAGCCCGGAAGCCCCAGGCAUUCUCGCUGUUUUAACAUACCCAUGUCUCCAGGGUUAUUGAUUGGCCUAGAGUCGUUUGCCCUGAAAUACAUGGCCCCCGAGUUCUGUGCUUGAGGUUUUGUGCCUGCUGUGGGCUGUCGUCCUGUUCUUUUCAUAAACCCUGUGUUCACCCACUGGGGUAGGUCUGAGGGAGCACCCACGAUCCACAGGGGCUGUGCUGGGGCUCAGCUCCCCGUAAACACAGGCCCCCCCCGCGAUCUGGUCUGAGGCCGCAGUGGAGCAGGGCUCCUUGAUCCAUCUUGCAGACGGGGAAGCAGGCUCAGGACAGUGCCUCUCGUCUUUUCAUUGGACUCAGGUGGUUCUAGGCUUUUUCUCCCGGGCAGUUCAUAUGCUGGCUGGCGAGAGCCCUGGCUCCCUUUCUGGGCCAUGAUCACCCCAUUCCUGGUGACCCUUCUCACCCCACGUGUGGCUGCAGCCUGCCGCCAGGAGGCAGUUCCCCUCCACAGUGUGUCCUGUGCCCAGUGACUUUCACCAGUGUUUCCCAAGGUGUGUUCUUUGGAACCCCACUUCCGCAGGAUGUUAGUAGGUUUUCAAACGGAAAAAUAAAGGCGGGGUGUGUGUGAAAGUGGGGUGAGGCUCUGUGGUCUAACGGGUCUGGCAGACACUGGGUUAAGGCCAGGUACAUGACUGUCUGCAGCAGGAUAUCUCAGAGCCUUUAGUGUGCCAGUGUGGGGCCACUUCAGAGGGGCCGUGUGGCUGGAGCCUUCCCACACGUCUCAUCGUAGAACGCUGCUGCACGGCACUCUCGCCAGAUGGGGCAUCCCGGGACACUGUCAGGAGAACCCUGCUUUGACUGGGACAGCGGCAGCCAUGAGGCCUCAUGGCCCCUGGGAGUGGGGUGAGGGGCGCCCGAGGGCUUCAGCUGGGGCAGGGGUCUCCCCAGUGGCUCUCUGCAGAGGUGGCCUGCUGGGUGGUGGGACAUGGAGGUAAGGGGGUCCCUCAGAGGUCUCUCCAUCUUGGGGUCUCCUGCAGGGUCGUGGGCAUUGUCUGCCUGGCGUGUGCUGGUAUUGGACCCGGCCCGCACGGCCAGGGGAGGCUCCUGCCUCAGGGCUCCAGCGCCAGGCCGGCCUGUUUACAGGGAGAGUGUUUGCUUUUCCUUCUUCCGUUUCUCUGAGCGGUGGCUGAGCGUCUGCCCUGUGCCUGCCCCGCCUGGGCCAUGGGUCGAGAGGAAGAAGCACCAUGUCGGCCUCAGGGAACCCACAGCAUCUCAGAGGAGACAAGCAUGUGGAUAAACACACUGGCGCUGUGGGGAGGCUUGUAGCGAGGGGGUGCUGGGGGCAUGGCUCCGAGGACGUCACCCACGUCGGCUCUGGUUCGGCCUGGACAGGCCCGUAGGAGAGACCAGAGCUUGAACCGGGUCUGAAAGGGGGUUGGCACAGCUCGCAGGGGUGAUGAGAAAUGGCACCCCAGGUGGGGCAGCCUGGGUGAAGGCAGGGGACAUGUAACAUUUGUCAACUGAAUAUCACCAGCGGGGGUCAGACACCUGCUUUUUCAAUUUUUAUUCCUUGCCUUUGAAUGUGUGGAAACAGUCUGCUCCCUGGAAAGAGCACUGAGUCUGGAGUCAGCCCCAGCGCUGGGCUUUGGCUCAGCCACUUCUUAACGGGCAACGGGCGCCCAUUUCUUCCUCUCCUUGAGCCUCAGUUUCCUUUUUGGUUGCAAGGGAAUAGCACUAACCAAGGAGCUGCGGAUCAGUGGAGGUGAGAAAUCCCCUUUCGCACGGUGUGGAGCUGGGGAGAUGUGAGGAACCUCCAGUUGCCCGUUUGAAAUCCUCUCUCUGUCAUUGUCCCCUGGGCUCCCCAUCUGCUCCCGCCUCCCACUUGCCCCAGUGUAGCUGCAGCUAGAGGAGCCAGGCCAGAACAGCCUCCAGCCAGAGGGAGCAGCAGCUUCGACGGCCCUGUUGGCAUGGGAGCCCUGAGGAAGCAAGGGUGGGUGGGGAUCCCAACCCUCCAGCUGCGUCUGGCCUCUGGGUGCUUGUCACUGGGACGGGAUCCCAGCAAGGUGGGCAGAGAGAAGAGAAAGGCCUUGCAGCCGAACCACAGGAGCUGAUCCAGGAGGCAGGAACCCCUCCAGUCUGCUCUUGCCUUGAAGCUGCCCGAAGACACUGCCUGCGGGACCAGCCUGGGCCAGACGCUGGACAUCUCUGCUGACCUCUGCCACCAAGUCAGCGCCUCGUAGAGGCCUGGGAGCCUUCCUGGGAAGAUCUGCAGCCCAGACUGAAGGUGUGCAGCCCUGUCCACGCCCUCUGUCCGUGUCGUUCCCAGCGAGAUAACCACGUCUUAUUAGCCAGUCCCUGUUAAGCGUGGAGGGAGAGCCGGCGCUUUGCCUGAUAGAGUCGGUACCAAAUUCUGCAGGGUCGGCCAGGCAUGUGAAUCUCCUCCCUCAGGGAGAUGCACAGAGUCACCUCCCCUGGGGGAGUGCUCCCUGGAUAUUUCUGGGGGACUUGCCAGGCUGCCCGCUGGCCUGAGGGGCCCCUGCUCCUCCAUAACAUGCAGCCUAGGAGGGGGUCGGACCCGGCCUGAAAGUCCCGCCCCUUGGCUGAGAAACCAGUCCCUGUAGACAGACAGUGAUUCGCCACAGCUGGGGGACGACAGCGGGAAAUCAACAGCAUCGCCGGUGGUGGGAGAGAGCAGAAAGCCCGGUUCCCUUGUCUUCAGUCUCCCUCCUGAGGCAGAGACCACAUCCUCCUGCCACCCAGGGUGCUCUCUCCAGGGCCCCACCCCAGGGGUGAGCCAGCACCUGUCCGUGUCAGGUCCGCCCAGGUCUCCAGCUUCUAUCGGAGCCGCCUCGCUAGGGCUCACAGACCCGGGCACGGCCAUUGUCCUCUUUAGGGAGACCUUGUCCACCCUCCAGGCUGCUGUGGCAGAGUGCCGCCGUGCCCCCAUCCUUUGGAGGGGCCCUCUAUCCUUCGGUGGGAGACCAGGUGCCACCGUGUUGCAGCCCUGCAAGAGCGGGUUUCCCUGUUCCUCACCGUCAGAUUCUUCUUUUUAUUAUUAUUUGAUGGUUAUUUCCAAGCAGGCACUUGAUUCUUUGGAGGAUUUUUGUUUGCCAAACAUAUAUUAAAUAAUGGUGAAUUUUCUUCUCGCUUGGAUUUUGCUUGUUGGCAUGAAACGCUGCUCAGUUUUCUUCUGGUGAUCAUCACGGACCGAGCGCCGAGGGUGCCGGCCGCUCCUGUGAGUUGCCUCGUCUCCUUCAUCAUAACCCUGAGAGUCAGCCUUACAGUUCCCUUCCUGCCAAUGCGGUGACCGUGGCACGUGGAUGGUGACUGACCUUGCCAGGGUCCCCCAGUUGACCCGGGACAGUCGGUUUGAAAGCAGGUCUCGCCUCAGCCUCACGAGGAGUGCCCCUUCUCGCCUGCUGUCCUGUUGCGUGUCAGCACAGAGAGAAACAUGCAAUUGGUGGGAGCCCAGCCAACAAGAAAACAAAUAAAACCUUGUUAUUUAGUCUG